CCUACGGGUGGCAGCAGUGAGGAAUAUUGGUCAAUGGGCGCGAGCCUGAACCAGCCAAGUAGCGUGAAGGAUGACUGCCCUACGGGUUGUAAACUUCUUUUAUAAAGGAAUAAAGUGAGGCACGUGUGCCUUUUUGUAUGUACUUUAUGAAUAAGGAUCGGCUAACUCCGUGCCAGCAGCCGCGGUAAUACGGAGGAUCCGAGCGUUAUCCGGAUGUAUUGGGUUUAAAGGGAGCGUAGGUGGGUUGUUAAGUCAGUGGUGGACGUUUGCGGCGCAACCGUAAAAGUGCAAUUGCUACUGGCAGGCUUGAGUACAGUGGAGGUAGGGGGAAGUCGUGGUGUAGCGGGGAAAGGCUUAGAGAGGACGAAGAA
rnacentral:rRNA from 1 species